rnacentral:rRNA from 1 species
AGAGUUUGAUCCUGGCUCAGGACGAACGCUGGCGGCAAGCCUAAUACAUGCAAGUCGAGCGANAAGACGUANCAAUACGUUUGUAAAGCGGCNAACGGGUGAGGAAUACAUGGGUAACCUACCCUUGAGUGGGGAAUAACUAGCCGAAAGGUUAGCUAAUACCGCGUACGCUUCUUGGACUUCGGUUCAGGGAGGAAAGCGCUACCGUGGGUAGCGCGCUCUUGGAUGGGCUCAUGUCCUAUCAGCUUGUUGGUGAGGUAACGGCUCACCAAGGCUUCGACGGGUAGCUGGUCUGAGAGGAUGGCCANCCACACUGGAACUGAGACACGGUCCACACUCCUACGGGAGGCAGCAGUGGGGAAUCUUGCCACAAUGGGCGAAAGCCUGAUGCAGCGACGCCGCGUGGGGGAUGAAGCUUCUCNGAGUGUAAACCCCUUUCGACCCGGACGAAUGCCCCGCAAGGGGACUGACGGUACGGGUAUAAGAAGCCCCGGCCUAACUACGUGCCAGCAGCCGNNGUAAGACGUAGGGGGCCAGCGUUGCUCGGAAUUACUGGGUGUAAAGGGUUCGUNGGCGGUGUGGCAAGUCGGGAGUGAAAUCUCUGGGGCUCAACCCAGAGGCUGCUUCCGAAACUGGCGUGCUUNANUGUGGGANANGCGCNUGGAAUUGCAGGUGUAGCNGUGAAAUGCGUAGAUAU